GAUGAAGAACGUAGCGAAAUGCGAUAAGUAAUGUGAAUUGCAGGAUUCAGUGAAUCAUCGAAUCUUUGAACGCACAUUGCGCCCCCUGGUAUUCCGGGGGGCAUGCCUGUUCGAGCGUCAUUUCACCACUCAAGCCUCGCUUGGUAUUGGGCAACGCGGUCCGCCGCGUGCCUCAAAUCGACCGGCUGGGUCUUCUGUCCCCUAAGCGUUGUGGAAACUAUUCGCUAAAGGGUGCUCGGGAGGCUACGCCGUAAAACAAACCCAUUUCUAAGGUUGACCUCGGAUCAGGUAGGGAUACCCGCUGAACUUAAGCAUAUCAAUAAGCGGAGGA
rnacentral:misc_RNA from 1 species